GGAGAGAUGGCUGAGUGGUUAAGAGCACUGACUGCUCUUCCAGAGGUCCUGAGUUCAAUUCCCAGCAACCACA
rnacentral:tRNA from 1 species